GAUUACAGCAGAAUCACCGACAAUGAUCUGGAACCGAUGGACAGAGUAUUUCUUCUCGCUUCUCGGGCUGAUGGUUGGAUAUGGCAAUGUUUGGAGAUUCCCCUACAUAUGUUACAAGAGUGGUGGCGGUGCAUUCCUGCUUCCUUACUUGAUUUGGAUGGUAUUUCUCGCAACACCUCUGGUUUUCUUGGAAGUAUCCUACCCACAAUUCACCAAUCUUGGUCCCGCCAAAGUGUGGAAUCUGUGUCCUUUGUUUAAAGAGCGGAACAUAGGCAGUGGUAAAGCGCUCGCCUGAUGCACGGUCGGUCUUGAAUCGAUACCCGUUCGUGGACCCAUUGGCCACGGAAUGGGCUACGCGUGGUUCCUACUUGCUCUGGGCGGCACCACGUACUACAACAUCCUCGUCUGUUGGACCCUCUACUACCUCUACUCAUCCUUCAGCGCCGUCCUGCCCUGGACCACGUGCUCCAACUCCUGGAAUACACCUUCCUGUGUAGCCAGGACUCUUGGCAGAAACACCACAUCCACGGGUAACGGAUCACUGCCCAGUAACCCACUUAGUAACAUGUCCACGAAUAUCAGUGUAGUGAACGUCAGUUCGAGUUGGGUCACAAUGAACGAGUCAUCACCAUUGGUGAAGACUAACACAGCUACUG